rnacentral:rRNA from 1 species
AGUGAACGCUGGCGGUAGGCCUAACACAUGCAAGUCGAACGGCAGCACAGUAAGAGCUUGCUCUUACGGGUGGCGAGUGGCGGACGGGUGAGGAAUACAUCGGAAUCUACUUUUUCGUGGGGGAUAACGUAGGGAAACUUACGCUAAUACCGCAUACGACCUACGGGUGAAAGCAGGGGAUCUUCGGACCUUUCGCGAUUGAAUGAGCCGAUGUCGGAUUAGUUAGUUGGUGGGGUAAAGGCCCACCAAGGCGACGAUCCGUCGCUGGUCUGAGAGGAUGAUCAGCCACACUGGAACUGAGACACGGUCCAGACUCCUACGGGAGGCAGCAGUGGGGAAUAUUGGACAAUGGGCGCAAGCCUGAUCCAGCCAUACCGCGUGGGUGAAGAAGGCCUUCGGGUUGUAAAGCCCUUUUGUUGGGAAAGAAAAGCAGCAGGUUAAUACCCCGCUGUUCUGACGGUACCCAAAGAAUAAGCACCGGCUAACUUCGUG